rnacentral:lncRNA from 7 species
UUUCUCCUCACAGGAACGUGGCAGCGGCGCCUGCCCGGGACGUCCAGGGGCACGGGGAAGAACAUGUGGCCAUGGAUCCAACUAGCCCAACAGCUUGCUUUCAGCAGCGAUUGCAAGUGGUCACCAGAGGAAGGGCAAGCUCAAGGAAAGCCUUCUCUCAGCUAUCCUGCCAGCCUCCAGCUGCUUUGAGUUUGGAACAUUUCCUCAGAGCAAUGUAAUUUCUGUGUACUUAGUAGCCUUCAAUGAAUUCCUAUUCCAGCCAGCUUCAUGCAUCUUCUGCUGGUGCCUCCUCGUUGCUGCAGGAAGACACAUCAAAGAAGAGGCAGUUUAAAAAAAGGCAAGGAAGAAUGGAGGACUGACUUUAUUCAGGGGUAUUUUUUCUUCCCUUUUCUACAUACACCCAUCUAUUUCAGCCUCUUCUUUAAAUGCCCUGUUUUCAAGUCUUCUUGCAUCUGUUACAGUGGGUACUUUGGCCUUUUCCUCACAACCUCCCAGCUGCAGUUUUUAACGUAUCAGACAGCUGCAGGAGGCAACUAACAAAGAUCACACCUUGUCUAAAUUUUGCACCAGCUUAACUGGAACAGCAGUGUCUCCUCUAUAGAAACCCUAGAGUCAGUUCCACAGUGGCUUAUUUCACAUUACUUUAAACCUACUACUAAUUGAUAAAAGAUGAAUAUAAAGAAGUUCACCAGUUUUACUGAAGCAAUAUAAAGUCACACAUAAUAGCUAGUCCACACAUGGGCUUACCCUGAUUAACAUCAUCUGUAGAGUAAGAAUUCCUUCUUCCUGCUUAGUUUGCCACCAGAAGUGGAAUGAGGCAAACUCAACUAAGAAUUUAAGAAAUAUUUCUAGAAACCCUCACAGCUAUGGCCAUCUGAAGAUCUGAUCAUAGUUCUUGGUUGCCUUUUUUUUUUCAUAUUAAUACAUAUCUCCAGUAUAAAUUGGCGCUCUCACCUACAAUCAGAUUCAGUGGCUUCAAGUACAUGUGAUUCUAAUUACUGACCCCAAGCUUUGUAGUGAGCUAAGCUGUGCACUUGGGGCUCAAUUCAAACCUCCUGGAAGUCCAUGGAAAGGGCUUAUGAGAGGGAACAUUUUGCACAACCACAUUUUUUUCUUACAUCUGUUUGCAAAAGCCUUGUAAUCCUUUGUGUAGCUUUUCAAACAAACAAAUUCUUUGAUUACGAUUUUAUUUUUACUUCAGAAGAAUAAAAAUCAUUUGCAAAAGC